CAGUCGCCACGGUAAUACGAAGGGUGCAAGCGUUACUCGGAAUUACUGGGCGUAAAGCGUGCGUAGGUGGUGGUUUAAGUCCGUUGUGAAAUCCCCGGGCUCAACCUGGGAAUGGCAGUGGAUACUGGCUCGCUAGAGUGUGUCAGAGGAUGGUGGAAUUCCCGGUGUAGCGGUGAAAUGCGUAGAGAUCGGGAGGAACAUCAGUGGCGAAGGCGGCCAUCUGGGACAACACUGACGCUGAGGCACGAAAGCGUGGGGAGCAAACAGGAUUAGAUACCCCAGUAGUCCCUGUCUCUUAUAC
rnacentral:rRNA from 1 species